rnacentral:rRNA from 1 species
AUACGUAGGUGGCAAGCGUUAUCCGGAUUUACUGGGUGUAAAGGGCGCGUAGGCGGGGGUGCAAGUCAGAUGUGAAAUCUAUGGGCUUAACUCAUAAACUGCAUUUGAAACUGUAUCUCUUGAGUGCUGGAGAGGUAGACGGAAUUCCUUGUCUAGCGGUGAAAUGCGUAGAUAUAAGGAAGAACACCAGUGGCGAAGGCGGUCUACUGGACAGUAACUGACGCUGAGGCGCGAAAGCGUGGGGAGCAAACAGGAGUAGAUACCCUGGUAGUCCACGCUGUAAACGAUGAAUACUAGGUGUGGGGGGACUGACCCCCUCCGUGCCGCAGUUAACACAAUAAGUAUUCCACCUGGGGAGUACGAUCGCAAGAUUGAAACUCAAAUGAAUUGACGGGG